UACAGAGGUCUCAACCGUUGUUCGGAUUCAUUGGGCGUAAAGGGUGCGUAGGCGGUCUGGCAAGUCGGAUGUGAAAUCUCAGGGCUCAACCCUGAAACUGCAUUCGAUACUGCUAGGCUUGAGUACUGGAGGGGAGACUGGAAUUUACGGUGUAGCAGUGAAAUGCGUAGAUAUCGUAAGGAACACCGGUGGCGAAAGCGGCUCACUGGACCUCUUCUGACGCUGAGGCACGAAAGCUAGGGUAGCGAACGGG
rnacentral:rRNA from 1 species